UACGUAGGGUGCAAGCGUUGUCCGGAAUUAUUGGGCGUAAAGGGCUCGUAGGCGGUUUGUCGCGUCGGGAGUGAAAACACCGGGCUUAACUCGGUGCUUGCUUUCGAUACGGGCAGACUAGAGGCAUGCAGGGGAGAACGGAAUUCCUGGUGUAGCGGUGAAAUGCGCAGAUAUCAGGAGGAACACCGGUGGCGAAGGCGGUUCUCUGGGCAUGUCCUGACGCUGAGGAGCGAAAGCGUGGGGAGCGAACAGG
rnacentral:rRNA from 1 species